UUAGAAUCUAAGUCUUGCCAAUCUAAGGCUGUAUGGCCUCAGAUAAGUUCAUCAAUUUCUCUUAGAAUCAGUUGCUUCAAUGUGUAUGACACUGAAGACCCCAUGAAAGGACUGUGGGUUGGCAGAUUUGGUCCAUCACUGCAGGGAAGGCAUGGUGCAAGCCUUGAGGCAUCUGGUCCAGGCAGCAGAGGCAGAAAUGAAUGCUCAGCUCUUUCUCCUUUUUAAUCCAUCUGGGAUUCUUCCACUCCUGGAAUACUGCUGCCCAUAUUGGGUCCAGGAUUAGUUGUUCUCUCAGUCAAUUACCAAACAGCGGCCUCUGGUAAACAAAACUCAGAUAAGAAUAUAUGGAUCAGAAACUGGAACUGAAGGAGCAAUAGAAAGAGCACCUGGAGAUAUCAGGACCCCAUUAUAAUAACAGAACAACUCUGGAGCACCAGCACAUGAUUCUGCGGCUACAGUCUUAGCACUCUAGAACAUCUGCAGUCCUAAGGCUUCAUUUCGAAUGGACUUUUUUGUUACCUUCUAAAAACACUCUUCUCAGUCUGCUAGACUACCCAAGAACAGAAGAGGUCAUAGCCCAGAAAAGAACAAAAGCAAGAUUUCCCUUUCUUGAUAACAGUAUAUGUAAUCCUUACAUUCCAUUCAGGCAUUCUGCAAAGCCCUCUGAGCAUACUUUAUGUGUGUUUGUGACUAAAAUAUGAUGUACCUUAAAAGCCAUUCCAGCCUCUUGUGAUGUGGUCAUAAGGAUUGUUUCUGCAUUAAAUACCUUAUUCCCA